rnacentral:rRNA from 2 species
AAUUCCGCGAAUCAUCGAGUCUUUGAACGCAAGUUGCGCCCGAGGCUUGUCCGAGGGCAUUUCCGCUAGAGCGUCACC